CACCGCGGUUAUACGAGGGACCCAAGUAGAUGGCCAUCGGCGUAAAGAGUGGUUAAGAGACACAAUACAACUAAAGCCAAACGACUUCAUAGCUGUUAUACGCGCAUGAAAGCACUGAGGCCCCUCCACGAAAGUGGCUUUAAUUUUCUGAACCCACGAAAGCUAUGACA
rnacentral:rRNA from 1 species